rnacentral:rRNA from 1 species
UACGUAGGGUGCGAGCGUUGCCCGGAUUUACUGGGCGUAAAGGGCGCGUAGGCGGUCAGCACAAGUCAGUUGUGAAAUCUCCGGGCUUAACCCGGAAAGGUCAACUGAUACUGUGCGACUAGAGUGCGGAAGGGGCAACUGGAAUUCUCGGUGUAGCGGUGAAAUGCGUAGAUAUCGAGAGGAACACCUGCGGCGAAGGCGGGUUGCUGGGCCGACACUGACGCUGAUGCGCGAAAGCCAGGGGAGCGAACGGG